GUCUCGGUAGUGUAAGGGAUAGAGCACGGUGCCCGGAAGGCAGAUGUACGGGUUCGAGUCUCAUCCGAGACU
rfam:Haemonchus placei strain MHpl1 genome assembly, scaffold: HPLM_scaffold0004900